rnacentral:tRNA from 1 species
GAUUCAAUAUAAUCAUAUUAUAUUUUAGGUACCACAAACCUACGUUUAAUACUUAAACUAAUUAAAC